AACGCGAAGAACCUUACCAGCCCUUGACAUGUCCGGCUAUCCAGAGAGAUUUGGAGUUCCCUUCGGGGACCGGAGCACAGGUGCUGCAUGGCUGUCGUCAGCUCGUGUCGUGAGAUGUUGGGUUAAGUCCCGCAACGAGCGCAACCCUCGCCCUUAGUUGCCAGCAUUCGGUUGGGCACUCUAAGGGGACUGCCGGUGAUAAGCCGAGAGGAAGGUGGGGAUGACGUCAAGUCCUCAUGGCCCUUACGGGCUGGGCUACACACGUGCUACAAUGGUGGUGACAGUGGGCAGCGAGACCGCGAGGUCGAGCUAAUCUCCAAAAGCCAUCUCAGUUCGGAUUGCACUCUGCAACUCGAGUGCAUGAAGUUGGAAUCGCUAGUAA
rnacentral:rRNA from 1 species